rnacentral:rRNA from 1 species
UUUAUUGAGAGUUUGAUUCUAGCUCAGGGUGAACGCUGGUAACGUGGAUAAGGCAUGCAAGUCGAGCGGAUACGAUGAGAUUACAUCAAGUCGUAUUAGCGGCGAACGGGUUAGUAACACGUAGGUAUCAACCCCAAAGACGGGCAUAACCAGUCGAAAGAUUGGCUAAUUCCCGAUAGCUCCCGCAAGGGUAAAGGAGCAAUCCGCUUUGGGAUGGGCCUGCGUCCUAUCAGCUAGUUGGUAAGGUAACGGCUUACCAAGGCUAUGACGGGUAGGGGGCGUGAGAGCGCGAUCCCCAACAAUGGCACUGCGACACGGGCCAUACUUCUACGGAAGGCUGCAGUCGAGAAUCUUCCACAAUGGGCGAAAGCCUGAUGGAGCGACGUUACGUGACUGAAGAAGCUCUUCGGAGUGUAAAAGUCUUUUCUCUGGGAGGAAGUAAUUGACAGUACCAGAGGAAUAAGGAGAUCCUAAUUCUGUGGUCAACCCACAAAGAAACGUGAAGGUUGACAGGCGCAGAAUCAAAAUUCGGCUAAUAUGCUGGAAAACUUUUAGAUGUCCGCUCAAGUUUUGCUAAAUUGCAAACGCGUCUAAAAAUAAUCAGCAGGGAAGUCUCCGUUUAUUAACGGAUGACCCCUCAGAGACUGAAUCCUGUAAAAGGAUGAGAUAGCGGUGAACAUUACCCGUUAUCAUACGCCGAGCAUCGACUAAUUAAAGUUGGUGAAGAGAUAGUCCAUAUUAGAUGUUGACAAAUUUUUUGUCUAAUGUCGCCAGCAGGAGCGGUAAUACAGAAUCUCCAAGUGUUGCCCGGAUUUAUUGGGUGUAAAGGGUUCGUAGGUGGCUAAAUUAGUCUUUGGUUAAAUCUCAUCGGCUCAACCUUUGAGUCCCCAAAGAUACUGUUUGGCUAGAGGGCGUUAGAGGCUGACGGAACCGACGGUGUAGGGGUGAAAUCCGUUGAUAUCGUCGGGAACACCGAAAGCGAAGGCAGUCAGCUAGGACGACCCUGACACUGAGGAACGAAAGCGUGGGGAUCAAAAAGGAUUAGAUACCCUUGUAGUCCACGCCGUAAACGAUGAUCACUGGCUAUUGGCAGUGUCGACCCUGUCAGUGGCGAAGCUAACGCGUUAAGUGAUCCACCUGGGAAGUACGGCCGCAAGGCUAAAACUCAAAGAAAUAGACGGGGACUCACACAAGCGGUGGACCAUGUGGCUCAAUUCGACAACAAACGAAGAACCUUACCAGGGCUUGAAAUCCUGACGAAAGCUUGCCGAAAGGCAGGCCUCCCACAAGGCGGCAGGACAGGUACUGCAUGGUUGUCGUCAGCUCGUGCCUUGAGGCGUACCGUUAAUUCGGGUAACGAGCGCAACCCUUGCCUUAUGUUUUACAUGUCAUAAGGGACUGCCCGGGAUAACCGGGAGGAAGGCGAGGAUGACGCCAAAUCAGCAUGGUCCUUUGAUGCCCUGGGCUGCACACGUGGUACAAUGGCCGGUACAAUGGGUUACAAAACCGUAAGGUGAAGUUAAUCCCACCAAAGCCGGUCUCAGUUCGGAUUGAGGGCUGCAACUCGCCCUCAUGAAGCCGGAAUCGCUAGUAAUCGCCGAUCAGCUACGCGGCGAUGAAUAUGUUCCUGAGUCUUGUACUCACCGCCAGUAAAAAGCGCGUCUGGCAGCUUAAUUGACUAGUUGGUGAAAGUCCAACCUCUUU